rnacentral:rRNA from 1 species
CCUACGUGGCGCAGCAGUAGGGAAUAUUGCUCAAUGGGGGAAACCCUGAAGCAGCAACGCCGCGUGGAGGAUGAAGGUUUUCGGAUUGUAAACUCCUUUUGUUAGAGAAGAUAAUGACGGUAUCUAACGAAUAAGCACCGGCUAACUCCGUGCCAGCAGCCGCGGUAAUACGGAGGGUGCAAGCGUUACUCGGAAUCACUGGGCGUAAAGAGCGCGUAGGCGGGAUAGCAAGUCAGAUGUGAAAUCCUAGGGCUUAACCAUAGAACUGCAUUUGAAACUGGUAUUCUAGAGUGUGGGAGAGGUAGGUGGAAUUCUUGGUGGAGGGGUAAAAUCCGUAGAGAUCAAGAGGAAUACUCAUUGCGAAGGCGACCUGCUAGAACAUAACUGACGCUGAUGCGCGAAAGCGUGGGGAGCAAACAGGAUUAGAUACCCGAGUAGUC